rnacentral:rRNA from 1 species
CAGGCCUAACACAUGCAAGUCGAACGAUAGCAUCCUUCGGGAUGUGGACAGUGGCAGACGGGUGAGUAACGCGUGGGAAUUUGCCCAGAGGUUCGGGACAACCAUUGGAAACGAUGGCUAAUACCGGAUAAGCCCGUAAGGGGAAAGAUUUAUUGCCUUUGGAUAAGCCCGCGUAAGAUUAGCUAGUUGGUGAGGUAAUGGCUCACCAAGGCGACGAUCUUUAGCUGGUCUGAGAGGAUGAUCAGCCACAUUGGGACUGAGACACGGCCCAGACUCCUACGGGAGGCAGCAGUGGGGAAUAUUGCGCAAUGGGGGAAACCCUGACGCAGCCAUGCCGCGUGAGUGACGAAGGCCUUAGGGUUGUAAAGCUCUUUCGCUAGGGAAGAUAAUGACGGUACCUAGUAAAGAAGCCCCGGCUAACUCCGUGCCAGCAGCCGCGGUAAUACGGAGGGGGCUAGCGUUGUUCGGAAUCACUGGGCGUAAAGCGCACGUAGGCGGACCAAUUAGUUGGGGGUGAAAGCCCGGAGCUCAACUCCG